GACGAACGCUGGCGGCGUGCUUAACACAUGCAAGUCGAACGAAGAGCGACGGAAGCUUGCUUCUAUCAAUCUUAGUGGCGAACGGGUGAGUAACGCGUAAUCAACCUGCCCUUCAGAGGGGGACAACAGUUGGAAACGACUGCUAAUACCGCAUACGAUCUAAUCUCGGCAUCGAGGAUGGAUGAAAGGUGGCCUCUACAUGUAAGCUAUCACUGAAGGAGGGGAUUGCGUCUGAUUAGCUAGUUGGAGGGGUAACGGCCCACCAAGGCGAUGAUCAGUAGCCGGUCUGAGAGGAUGAACGGCCACAUUGGGACUGAGACACGGCCCAGACUCCUACGGGAGGCAGCAGUGGGGAAUCUUCCGCAAUGGACGAAAGUCUGACGGAGCAACGCCGCGUGAGUGAUGACGGCCUUCGGGGUUGUAAAGCUCUGUUAAUCGGGACGAAAAGGCCUUUCUUG
rnacentral:rRNA from 1 species